rnacentral:lncRNA from 1 species
GACAAGACCUCUGGAAGGAGCCCUUUACCCAAUAGCUUUCUUCUCAAGGAGUUAGCCCAUCAUCUACUUGCACCAUCAAUCUCUUCACCAGUAAAAACAAUAGAAUCUGUGAAUCUCUAUUGCGGAUGGAUAAUCUCAUGCUCAGAAACUUCUUAUCUUAUAUCUUCUUCUACCUUAAAGAACAUUAGCCUAGGAUCUAUCCUAUUUGUCUUGAGAUUGCUCCUUGCGUUGUUUAUGGUUGCAGUCCACAACGCCACUACUUUUAGGUCCCCCU